ensembl:misc_RNA Metazoa_SRP Metazoan signal recognition particle RNA
GCCGGGCAUGAUGGCUCAUGCCUGUAAUCCCAGCACUUUGGGAGGCCGAGACGGGCGGAUCACCUGAGGUCAGGAGUUCGACACCAGCCUGGCCAACAUAGUGAAACCCUGUCUUUACUAAAAAUAAAACAAAUUAGCCCAGGCACGGUGGCUCACGCCUGUAAUCCCAGAACUUUGGGAGGCCGAGGCGGGCAGAUCACCUGAGGUCAGCAGUUCGAGACCAGCCUGACUAACAUGGUGAAACCCUGUCUCU